rnacentral:lncRNA from 1 species
UCAUUUCAGCCAUACAAGCUGCAGGCCUGGUGUAGAUCCCCCGGCACUUAGAAAAAUCUAUGAUCAGCUUCUUGAUAGUAAUAAGAAAGAUUUAGAAAGAUGAAUUUCUUCUUACAAAAAUAAAUUACCUAUUUACGGACUGACAGUGAUGUAUGAUUGUUGGAUCCAUCUUACUAGACAAAGUAUCAUCAACUUCUUGACAUAUUGUGAUGGAAAAAUAUUUUUUCACAAGUCAAUUAUGCUUCAGAUGGGAUGCACAAUACCGCAUAUAUUCUUAGACUAAUGGAGGAGGUGAUUGAUUCACUAGGAGAGUAGAAUAUCGUGCAGGUCA